GUGAAGUACAGAAACAAUAAUAACAUCGCUGGCAGUUUUUCACUAAUGAUUUGGGCUUCAGUUUUUCAUCUAGAGAUUGGAGUGAUAUUGGUGACUACAUUAAGAUGAAGUGUUAAAAUACAUAUGAAGUGUGUAUAGUUCACCAUACCUGGCCAGGACACAAAGAUUCUGUGUAUCUAGUUGCCACAGAUAAUCAAGUCACCAACCUGAGAAGGUGGUGGAGGAUGAGAAUGUGAAGGGGAUUACAAAAGGCUACAGAUGCCUGAGCAGACAAGGAUGCUACCCUGAGAAGUGGAUCUGGAAGCAGAAAGACACAAUUAUGUUACUGCCCAGUGGCCAAGCAUAACUACCUGACCAAUUCCUCCAAUGGAGACAUUGCCAACUCAAUACUGUUGCCUACUUUGCAUAGCCACACUCAGAAGAGUGAGAUCAAGACAGAUUAGUAUGGUACAAAGGGUCCUGGUCAAAGUUCUC